GGGUUGUGAGGUUAAGCGACUAAGCGUACACGGUGGAUGCCCUGGCAGUCAGAGGCGAUGAAGGACGUGCUAAUCUGCGAUAAGCGCCGGUAAGGUGAUAUGAACCGUUAUAACCGGCGAUUUCCGAAUGGGGAAACCCAGUGUGAUUCGUCACACUAUCAUUAACUGAAUCCAUAGGUUAAUGAGGCGAACCGGGGGAACUGAAACAUCUAAGUACCCCGAGGAAAAGAAAUCAACCGAGAUUCCCCCAGUAGCGGCGAGCGAACGGGGAGGAGCCCAGAGCCUGAAUCAGCAUGUGUGUUAGUGGAAGCGUCUGGAAAGGCGCGCGAUACAGGGUGACAGCCCCGUACACAAAAGCGCAUGUGCUGUGAGCUCGAUGAGUAGGGCGGGACACGUGGUAUCCUGUCUGAAUAUGGGGGGACCAUCCUCCAAGGCUAAAUACUCCUGACUGACCGAUAGUGAACCAGUACCGUGAGGGAAAGGCGAAAAGAACCCCGGCGAGGGGAGUGAAAAAGAACCUGAAACCGUGUACGUACAAGCAGUGGGAGCCCCACCACUAAGCCAGUGGUGAACUCCACAUCCGCAUCCUUUGCUGAGGAUACGGUUAACGGAGCGAAAGCGACGUUCAACCGCAAAACAAGCAGA
rnacentral:rRNA from 1 species